UACGUAGGGGGCAAGCGUUGUCCGGAAUCAUUGGGCGUAAAGAGCGUGUAGGCGGCUCGGUAAGUCCGCUCUGAAAGCCCGGGGCUCAACCCCGGGAGGCGGGCGGAUACUGUCGAGCUAGAGUCCGGAAGAGGCGAGUGGAAUUCCCGGUGUAGCGGUGAAAUGCGCAGAUAUCGGGAGGAACACCAAUGGCGAAGGCAGCUCGCUGGGACGGUACUGACGCUGAGACGCGAAAGCGUUGGGAGCAAACAG
rnacentral:rRNA from 1 species